rnacentral:rRNA from 1 species
AGCGAACGCUGGCGGCAGGCCUAACACAUGCAAGUCGAGCGCCCAGCAAUGGGAGCGGCAGACGGGUGAGUAACGCGUGGGGAUCUGCCCAAUGGUACGGAAUAACCCAGGGAAACUUGGAUUAAUACCGUAUGUGCCCUUCGGGGGAAAGAUUUAUCGCCAUUGGAUGAACCCGCGUCGGAUUAGCUAGUUGGUGAGGUAAAGGCUCACCAAGGCGACGAUCCGUAGCUGGUCUGAGAGGAUGAUCAGCCACACUGGGACUGAGACACGGCCCAGACUCCUACGGGAGGCAGCAGUGGGGAAUAUUGGACAAUGGGCGCAAGCCUGAUCCAGCCAUGCCGCGUGAGUGAUGAAGGCCUUAGGGUUGUAAAGCUCUUUCGCCGGUGAAGAUAAUGACGGUAACCGGAGAAGAAGCCCCGGCUAACUUCGUGCCAGCAGCCGCGGUAAAAC